rnacentral:rRNA from 1 species
AUUGAACGCUGGCGGCAGGCCUAACACAUGCAAGUCGAGCGAGCGGCGGCCGGGUGAGUAAUGCCUGGGAAUUGCCCAGUCGAGGGGGAUAACAGUUGGAAACGACUGCUAAUACCGCAUACCAUUGGCUUGCCCAGGUGGGAUUAGCUAGUUGGUGAGGUAAUGGCUCACCAAGGCGACGAUCCCUAGCUGGUCUGAGAGGAUGAGCAGCAAAACUGGAACUGAGACACGGUCCAGAGUCCUACGGGAGGCAGCAGUGGGGAAUAGUGCACAAUGGGGGAAACCCUGAUGCAGCCAUGCCGAGUGUGUGAAGAAGGACUUCGGGUUGUAAAGAACUUUCAGCGAGGAGGCGUUACUAGCAGAAGAAGCACCGGCUAACUCCGUGCCAGCAGCCGCGGUAAUUC